CAGCCGCCGCGGGAACACGUAGGGUGCAAGCGUUAAUCGGAUUUACUGGGCGUAAAGCGUGCGUAGGCGGCUUCUUAAGUCGGAUGUGAAAUCCCUGAGCUUAACUUAGGAAUUGCAUUCGAUACUGGGAAGCUAGAGUAUGGGAGAGGAUGGUAGAAUUCCAGGUGUAGCGGUGAAAUGCGUAGAGAUCUGGAGGAAUACCGAUGGCGAAGGCAGCCAUCUGGCCUAAUACUGACGCUGAGGUACAAAAGCAUGGGGAGCAAACAGGAUUAGAUACCCGAGUAGUCCCUGUCUCUUAUAC
rnacentral:rRNA from 1 species